rnacentral:rRNA from 1 species
GAACGCUGGCGGCGUGCUUAACACAUGCAAGUCGUGCGAGAAGGUCCUUCGGGGACUGAGUAGAGCGGCGCACGGGUGAGUAACGCGUGGGUGACCUACCCAGGAGACCGGGAUAACAGUGGGAAACUGCUGCUAAUACCGGGUACGCUUCAUAUUUCACGUAUGGGGGAAAGGCGGCCUCUGCUUGCAAGCUGCCACUCUUGGAUGGGCCCGCGUCUCAUUAGCUUGUUGGUAGGGUAACGGCCUACCAAGGCGACGAUGAGUAGCUGGUCUGAGAGGAUGAUCAGCCACACUGGGACUGGAACACGGCCCAGACUCCUACGGGAGGCAGCAGUGGGGAAUAUUGCGCAAUGGGCGAAAGCCUGACGCAGCGACGCCGCGUGAGGGAAGAAAAGGGCCUUCGGGUCGUAAACCUCUGUCAGGAGGGAAGAAACCAUGGGAGUCGAAUAGGCUCUCGUGCUGACGGUACCUCCGGAGGAAGCACCGGCUAACUCCGUGCCAGCAGCAGC